CUUUUUUUCUUUUUAGUAUGUUUUCCUUGGUGGACACCUGAAGAAUGAAUAGGAACAGAAAGUGUAACAUAAAUCUUUGGAUUAACCUUAUUUCUCUUGCAAUUUCAUUCUGACACUAUUUUGCUAAUGCAAGAAAGCCAGUAAAUAGAACUGAGCCCAAACUCUCUAAUACCAAGGGCUAUGGUGAGGCUGAUCCAGGACUUGGUAAGUAGUAUAUCUUAUUUUAUUUAAAAAAAUCGAUAUUUAAUAGUCUGUUAGCUGAGCCAAAAACACACAGGCUGCAGAAGAAACACUUGUAGAUUGCAAAGUGAUAUUUAAAGAAAAAUGCAGACUUGAUAAGCAUUUCCAUGUUUCGUAUAUUUGGUUUUCAAGAAAAGAUGUUGAAUAGGCCAUUUGAUAUGUUAG
rnacentral:lncRNA from 1 species